rnacentral:rRNA from 1 species
GGGGAAUAUUGGACAAUGGGCGCAAGCCUGAUCCAGCCAUGCCGCGUGAGUGAUGAAGGCCUUAGGGUUGUAAUGCUCUUUUAGCGGGGAAGAUAAUGACGGUACCCGCAGAAUAAGCCCCGGCUAACUUCGUGCCAGCAGCCGCGGUAAUACGAAGGGGGCUAGCGUUGUUCGGAAUUACUGGGCGUAAAGCGCACGUAGGCGGAUUGACAAGUCAGGGGUGAAAUCCCGGGGCUCAACCUCGGAACUGCCUUUGAUACUGUCAGUCUAGAGUCCGGAAGAGGUGGGUGGAAUUCCUAGUGUAGAGGUGAAAUUCGCAGAUAUUAGGAAGAACACCGGUGGCGAAGGCGGCCCACUGGUCCGGAACUGACGCUGAGGUGCGAAAGCGUGGGGAGCAAAC